rnacentral:lncRNA from 13 species
AUGACAUCUGGGAAAAAAAAAAAAACUAAAUAAAACAAAUUUACAUUUUAUCCCUGGAUUGAUAUAAGACAAAAAUAUUGUGUGGGAAAGCUGGAGUUGAGGACGAAUGAGAUUCUGAGAAUAAAAAUCCCUGGUACAUAGUCAAAGUUUCAGAGUCGACUUCAGGUUUUCAAAGAUUAUAAAAUAGAUAACCUCAUACCACCAUCUCCAACAGAUAAAAGGAACCAGGGAGAAAGAACAGAAAAUUGGCUGAGUUCUGUCACUGACAAAACAGUGGGAAGGAGGAAUCUGGAAGGUGGGAGGGUGGAGGGAGCCUCCCCUCUCACUGCCCCUCCCCCAUCAGGGGCCCUUUGUGAUGUGAAGGCCCCAGCUCUGUGAUGCAGGCCUGGGCCCCAGUCCCUAGUCUGCAAGGGAAUGCCCAGAGCUCAGUUGCUCGAAGGCAGCAUACCUAUUCAGAUGGCAAAUAUUCCGUUUCCUCUCAAAUUUCUUAGUGAUUUGUGGAUAAACACCCCCAGCUUUACACCAUGGGUGUUGGAUAUCUGCCUCACCCUGGUAUUUGUCGUGGAGUUAUAUUUCCUAUUAGCCCCCUGCCUCUCUUACUUCCAUCGUGAUCCACCCUCACCAUUGCCCGGGGAGAAGAGAAUGGGUCACCUUCUCUCCCAGGGUCAUCUUCUGUCCCAGUGUCAAGGUCAGUGGAGGGGGAGGCCCAAAGGCAGGAAGAAAAACUGCAGUCUGAAAGCUUCUAGAGACCUCCUGACAGGCCUGGAGCGGCUUCUGGACUUGCUUUCACAACUGCAGCGGUGAGGCACUUCCCCUUCCCUGCAUCCUUCUUACCGGGCUGGGAUUCGACCCCAGGGCCUUACGGCAGCCUGGAGCUGACCUGGGAUGGGGAGACCACGGGGACAGAGGAUGG